GACGAACGCUGGCGGCGUGCUUAACACAUGCAAGUCGAACGGAGAUUAUUAAUGAAGCUUGCGAUUUAAUAAUCUUAGUGGCGGACGGGUGAGUAACGCGUGGGCAACCUACCCAUAAGAGGGGGAUAACAGCUGGAAACGGCUGCUAAUACCGCAUAAACUUUUUAAGACCCAUGUUUUAAAAAGGAAAGGUGGCGCAAGCUAUCGCUUAUGGAUGGGCCCGCGUCUGAUUAGCUAGUUGGUGGGUAACGGCCUACCAAGGCAACGAUCAGUAGCCGGCCUGAGAGGGUGAACGGCCACACUGGAACUGAGACACGGUCCAGACUCCUACGGGAGGCAGCAGUGGGGAAUAUUGCACAAUGGGCGCAAGCCUGAUGCAGCGACGCCGCGUGAGCGAAGAAGGUUUUCGGAUCGUAAAAGCUCUGUCCUCUGGGAAGAAAAAAAUGACGGUACCAGAGGAGGAAGCCCCGGCUAACUACGUG
rnacentral:rRNA from 1 species